CUUAUCAAAAAUAUCUCCAGCCAGGUUGCUGGUAGCUCUGGGCUUUCUGCCUCUGGCUAACUUCAUUGCACAGCAGCAGAGGAUGCAAGAGAAAAUAAAUCCGAAAUGAGGAGGGAUUAGCUCACAGGGCUCAACUUGCCUGUGAGGGCUUGGUUUGCCCCCAGGUCUAUCCCUUGGGAAGAAGGUGCCCCAGCCUCACUCUUCUGGCUCCUCUGGACGGAGGAGAGCCAGGCUCAAUGCUGCUCCAUGCUGGAUAUGGCAUUUAACACAUGGCAAAAAAUUGCUUUCUCUCGUUUCUCUAAAUGAGAACUAGUUGUACCCUUUCAUGCAAUUAGGUAAACACUUGAAAUCUGUUUGGUCCUUUGCACAAAAUCUGCCCUGGGAACAACAUGUUUGGAGAAUACUCCCUGUGAUGAUCCAGCAGAGCUAACUGCUGCUUCUGCCUCCACACCUCACAUGCAACUGCCUCAGCGUUGUCUUCUGUAAUCACCCAGAAGUCAGGUCAGGAAGCCCAACAGCCGAUGACAUGUACCUUUCUGCUUCAGGGAGACCUCUCGUGCUUUAUUUUGCAUUUGUGCUUCAGUGUGAGGGAAUACUUGCUGGAAGAGCUCAUUUAAAAAUCGUUCCUCCUCCAAGAAGACGAGAUUGUAGAAGCUAUUUCUGAAUCCCCAAAUGCCCUCCCUGAGAGCUUGACCGUGUGGUUUAUUUCCAUUACACUACAGAAGUGGAAUGAGGAACCUAUGUUUUUAAAUGUCAUAGCUGCUGGGUGCCAUUCUUUGGAAAUGAGAAAUGAAAACAGCUGAAUGCUGAUUUAUUGUUUUAGUUACAAAGAAAAGACCCAACCAAUGUGGUUGGAGUUCAAAAAUAAAGGAGAAAAAGAAGAGGGACUAACACAGGUUUGAUGAUGUUUGUACCAGUUUGUUCCACAGCAACAGUGAAAGUAGUUAAUUAAAAUUAUGUGGAGCCUGACUCCAUGAUUAACUAAUUAAAGCAGGGCUACUCCAGUGGUGGCCAGGGGAAGAGACCUCUCUCCUCAGCACAAAUGCUUCUUUGCUGGCUUGUGCGUGUCACGGGCUGUGUGCCUUUCUGAACAUGGCGAGGGGCUGGCAAUGAGCCCCCUGGCGGGCAGCAGUCGGUAGCUUCCAAAAGAUGGGGUGCCUCUGAUCUGAUUAUGAGGUCCAGACCCGUAUCCAAUCCGUACAGAGUUUCUAAGCCCCAAGUUCUUUUAGAGAUGGUAAAGAUCAACAGUCCUUCCAUUGUCUGCCAAUGUGCCGGCUUCAUUUAUCUUUCACCAGCACUUCCAGAAGAUUAAAAUCAAGUGGCUUACAUCUCUGAAAUCUAACUGAAGCAUAUCAUAUAAGAAUAUUUUUAAGGACUGUGAACCCAAACACAACUUGCUAUUGCUUUAGACUGAGGACUAGAAGUGAAAAUGAGUAGAAACAAGAGUGAAAUUGAUUAGCUUCACUGUCUAAUACUAGGAUAAGAAAAGUAAAUGGAAAAAUUAUAAGUAAACAAUGACAUAUUCUA